rnacentral:rRNA from 1 species
UACGUAGGUGGCAAGCGUUGUCCGGAAUUACUGGGCGUAAAGGGCGCGUAGGCGGCCUGUUAAGUCGAACGUGAAAUCCCUGGGCUCAACCCAGGAACUGCGUCCGAUACUGGCAGGCUUGAAUUCGGGAGAGGGAUGCGGAAUUCCAGGUGUAGCGGUGAAAUGCGUAGAUAUCUGGAGGAACACCGGUGGCGAAGGCGGCAUCCUGGACCGAUAUUGACGCUGAGGCGCGAAAGCCAGGGGAGCAAACGGG